rnacentral:rRNA from 1 species
UACGUAGGGCGCGAGCGUUGUCCGGAAUUAUUGGGCGUAAAGAGCUCGUAGGCGGUCUGUCGCGUCGGAUGUGAAAGCCCGGGGCUUAACCCCGGGUCUGCAUUCGAUACGGGCAGACUAGAGUGUGGUAGGGGAGAUCGGAAUUCCUGGUGUAGCGGUGAAAUGCGCAGAUAUCAGGAGGAACACCAGUGGCGAAGGCGGUUGCCUGGAGCUUUGCUGACGCUGAUGCGCGAAAGCGUGGGGAGCGAUCCGG